GACAGAGAAAGUUAGAGCAUUUUGAAAGAAGUUUCCUCCAUUCAGGUGGAAGAAGAAGGAGCCGGCAGAGAGCACACAGACCGACAGAAAUGCCAGGCAGAGCUGCUUCCGGCUGGGAGUCCACAUAGCUACGGGGAGGAGAGAUGACGACCAGGACACCGAAGCCCACCUGGAGAUCAGGGAGGACGGAACAGUGGUGGGCACAGCACACCGCAGUCCAGAAAGUCUCCUGGAGCUCAAAGCCUUGAAGCCAGGGGUCAUUCAAAUCCUGGGUGUCAAAGCCUCUAGGUUUCUUUGCCAACAACCAGAUGGAACUCUCUAUGGAUCGUUUCAGAGAGCUGCUGCUUAAGGACGGAUACAAUGUGUACCAGUCUGAGGCCCAUGGCCUGCCCCUGCGUCUGCCCCAGAAGGACUCCCAGGAUCCAGCAACCCGGGGACCUGUGCGCUUCCUGCCCAUGCCAGGCCUGCCCCACGAGCCCCAAGAGCAACCAGGAGUCCUUCCCCCAGAGCCCCCAGAUGUGGGUUCCUCCGACCCCCUGAGCAUGGUAGAGCCUUUGCAAGGCCGAAGCCCCAGCUAUGCAUCUUGAAUCUUCCCGAUUCUAGGCAUGUUUCUCUUUAGGUUUCCUCUUAUUUAUUAUGGGUAUUUAUCUUAUUUAUUUAUUUUAAAGUUUUUUUUCUUACUUGGAAUAAUAAAGAGUCUGAAAGAAAAUUUUGUUUGUU
rnacentral:lncRNA from 1 species